ACUUGUCCGCCAGAGAAUUACGGGCGAAAGCCUAAAACUCAAAAGACUUGACGGUGUCCCAACCCUGCCUAGAGGAGCCUGUUACAUAAUCGAUAAUCCCCGAUCAACCCGACCCUUUCUUGUAAACCUUCAGCCUAUAUACCGCCGUCUCUCUUAGCCUACCUUUUGAAAGAUAUAACAGUAAGCCAAAAAGUCCUUCAACUAAAAAGUCAGGUCAAGGUGUAGCUAAUGAAAGGGAGAUAAUGGGCUACAUUUUCUACAAUAGAACAUAACGAAAAACACUCUGAAACAGGUGUAUAAAGGCGGAUUUAGUAGUAAG
rnacentral:rRNA from 1 species